GCCGCUAUGGCUUAGUGGUAAAGCAUCCCCCUUACUGUGAAAACAGGGCCAAGCGUGUAUUUAUAGUUAGACUAGAUUAGAUGCUUUGACUAAGGGGAAGAUCCGGGUUUCGAAUACCCGCAGCGGCG
rnacentral:tRNA from 1 species